CAAACAAAUGCUAUUUUUCUUGUACAAGGGGAAAUAUAAGAAGAAUAAUAAAUUGACAAGUAUAUCCAUUAGAAGUAAAAGGGUCAUAAAAUUCUAAAAAAUGUGAUGAAAUUUUUUAAAGGCAAGAAGGGCUCAGAAAAUUAUUAAAGCUAACAUGAGAAUGUAAAGUUUGUGAAUAGGCAAAGAGAAAAAUCAGUAGUUCUCAUAUUUAGUUGUGGAUCAGUAUUUCCACAGGAAUUUCUUACAUAUACAACCCUUCUCUUUUGAGAGAGUUGAAGCAGAAAAGAAUAGCUUUAUUUGCUUUGCCAGGCACAGGGGGCAACAGCAGGCUAAUGUCCUCAAAACUGUGUGUGCCAACCUGGAGGGGUGUAGUGAGAAGUUUUAUAAUAAUGGUUCAAAGAGGGUGUGAUGUAUGUAUAUACUACCCUUUAGAUAUCCACUGAGACUGAGUGAAUCAGAAUCUGUGAGUAGGUCCUGGUCAUCUACAUUUUUAAUAUUCUCUACCAGAUGGUUCUCUAUGUAAUUUUUUCAAUGGUCUGUCUUUAUCUUAGAGUGAAACCCAAGCGCAUAACCAUAAAUAAGAAGACUCUGUCUUACUUCUACAAAUUCAUUUCAAGCCCUUGACAUCUUUUCCCCUAUAUCUGACCACACUGCAUCUUUUCAGCUACUAGAACAUACUGCAACUUUUCCCAUUGCCUGUGGCUUCACACGGAUGCUUUACCUUGCAGGAAUCCUCUUAGGUGGCUUCUCUAAAUGAUUGUCUUCAGGUGUUACAAAUCACUUCCUCAGAAAGGCUGGCUCUGCUAACUCUCAAGUAUGAAUUCAAAACUUCUUUCAACUACCACUGAAAAACAAGUUCUACCACAAGGAAGGAGAGACAUCCACUUACCCGGCCCAUGGUUUUAGAACUGCCAAUCAUCCUCAGAAGCUGAGUCCAGAGAAGCCAGAGCUGAGGGAGGAAAAAGAAGCCUUGAAACCCAAUGUAGCUCAGAACUCCCAAAAUUAAGGUAAGAGAGCCUCUCUUUUUUCUUCUUUAUUCCUGUUUCUCGCCAUCCUUGCCCACUCUCUGCCCUCCCAAACACAUAAACACAUGUCAGGGGAUAUGAGACAGAGUCCAGACAAACUCAAACCCUUUCCUGUGUCUGGGAAACAAGCCUCACAAGCGUGGAUACAGAGCAGAGGCUCUCUUGAACCAAAGCCAGAUCCAGACACGCCCCUCUGGCCUAUUUCUCAUUCUGAUCAUGCCAGAUGUACCCAGCUUGGGUUGUCCAGUCACACUAAGUGGAUCCUCCCCAAUUCAGCCCUACCUUCCAGGGUUGAGACCAGGCCAUACAACACAAACUUCAACAACC